GAUGAACGCUGGCGGCGUGCCUAAUACAUGCAAGUCGAGCGAACGGACGAGAAGCUUGCUUUUCUGAUGUUAGCGGCGGACGGGUGAGUAACACGUGGAUAACCUACCUAUAAGACUGGGAUAACUUCGGGAAACCGGAGCUAAUACCGGAUAAUAUUUUGAACCGCAUGGUUCAAAAGUGAAAGACGGUCUUGCUGUCACUUAUAGAUGGAUCCGCGCUGCAUUAGCUAGUUGGUAAGGUAACGGCUUGCCAAGGCAACGAUGCAUAGCCGACCUGAGAGGGUGAUCGGCCACACUGGAACUGAGACACGGUCCAGACUCCUACGGGAGGCAGCAGUAGGGAAUCUUCCGCAAUGGGCGAAAGCCUGACGGAGCAACGCCGCGUGAGUGAUGAAGGUCUUCGGAUCGUAAAACUCUGUUAUUAGGGGAGAACAUAUGUGUAAGUAACUGUGCACAUCUUGACGGUACCUAAUCAGAAAGCCACGGCUAACUACGUG
rnacentral:rRNA from 1 species